rnacentral:rRNA from 1 species
AUUGAACGCUGGCGGCAGGCCUAACACAUGCAAGUCGAACGAGUGGCGGACGGGUGAGUAAUGUCUGGGAAACUGCCCGAUGGAGGGGGAUCACUACUGGAAACGGUAGCUAAUACCGCCUACCAUCGGAUGUGCUCAGAUGGGAUUAGCUAGUUGGUGGGGUAAUGGCUCACCUAGGCGACGAUCCCUAGCCGGUCUGAGAGGGUGACCAGCCAGACUGGGACUGAGACACGGUCCAGACUCCUCCGGGAGGCAGCCGUGGGGAAUAUUGGACAAUGGGCGCAAGCCUGAUGGAGCCAUGCCGCGUGUAUGAAGAAGGCAUUCGGGUUGUAAAGUACUUUCAGCGGGGAGGCGGUACUCGCAGAAUAAGCAACGGCUAACUCCGUGCCAGCAGCCGCGGUAAUAC